rnacentral:rRNA from 1 species
UACAGAGGUCUCAAGCGUUGUUCGGAUUCAUUGGGCGUAAAGGGUGCGUAGGCGGCGCGGUAAGUCGGGUGUGAAAUCUCGGAGCUUAACUCCGAAACUGCAUUCGAUACUGCCGUGCUUGAGGACUGGAGAGGAGACUGGAAUUCAUGGUGUAGCAGUGAAAUGCGUAGAGAUCAUGAGGAAGACCAGUGGCGAAGGCGGGUCUCUGGACAGUUCCUGACACUGAGGCACGAAGGCCAGGGGAGCAAACGGGG